UGCGCAUACUUUUUGUAGUUAAAAGCGCCGUCUUUUUUUACAUGCUUAAUCAAUGUAAAUCUAUGCUGUGAUAGAAUAGUCAGCAAGAAAAGGAGAUUAUCCACAAGUGUUUCAUACAGCUGCUCUUCAUGAGGUGACUGCGAGAAAGUGAUUUCCUGUGGUUUUAAUUCUAGGAGACAAGGAAUCUAGGAAUCGUCAUCUGGCUGAAAUAUUCUGCAUCUUUAACACCAGGGGAAAGAUACUGCAAAAUCCCCAUUCCCUCCCCACUCUGGGGCCAGCCAGAGGUGGCAUUUGCCAGUUCUCCGAACUACUCAAAAUUUCUGCUACCGGUUCUCCGAAUUACUCAAAAUUUCCACUACUGGUUCUCCAGAACUUGUCAGAACCUGCUGGAUUUUACUCCUGGUUUAAAGGACUUUAAAGGACAAGACUGGUACAUGACAGAAAAAAAUACAGGCGUGCCAUAGCUAUUGAAAAAAAUAACCAAAUGAAAAUCAGCAAACAGAAAUCUCCACUAUUAUAAACGUAACAGUAAGAGGUCUGGUAAAGAGUACAGCUAUAUUUUCCAGGCUGGAGCAAAACAGGCUAUUUCACAGGUUUUUGUUGAAACAAACAUUGAUUUUUACCAGGUGGGUUUUCAGGUUUCUAUUUACCUGCAUUGUCUUGAGCGAUAUAUAAAUGAAGCCAUACCUUAAAGCAGGGGUGAAAUGCUCCCGGUUCGGACCGGCUCGGGCGAGUAGGUAGCAAUGGCGGCGGGAAGUUCGGAGCAAAAAUCCCUUUCCCCCCCUCAGCCUCCAGCUUGCUUUCCUUCGCACACCUGCCUUGCUUCGCUUGCUGUAAUCCCUGUAAUCCAUUGCAUCAGCAAGCAACUGAAUCUCCCUGCCUGCAAUCAAGCUCAUCGGUGAGCAGCUCUUUCUCCCUGCCUGCCUGCAUGUUAAAAAAGGGCAAAGAAGUGACGUCGACUUGGCCACGCCCACCUGACCAACAAGCCAUGCCCACCCAGUCACCUGACCAACAAGCCAUGCCCACUAAUUAAGCCACACCCACAGAACCGGUAGCGAAAAUUUUUUAGAUUUCACCCCUGCCUUAAAGGAACCAUAGUGUGGAGCAACAGCAGUGGUGGGUUGCCCCCAGUUCGGACCAGUUUGCAAGAACCGGUAGUAAAACCGGCGGGAGGCCCCGCCCACUGCCACAGAUGUCAUUAUCGGCGAUCUCCGCAUGCGCAAAAGCAAGGUGCGUGUGUGAGUGAAGCAAGGUCCGCCUGUGAUCCCAUUGUGAACUGGAAGUAAAGGGGAAUGUUGAAGAGUUCCAGCUGCAGUAUGAAGUCUUGUAUUUUUCUCUGCCAUCUCAGGAUUCCGUCACCUGAGACAUCUGCAAAUUUCUCUUAGUAAGGACAGUAACUAAUUUGCCUAUCUUUUUUUAAAAUCUAUGUUUCUUUCAGUAUUUUUAAAAAAUUGUGUUCUGAUCUUUCAAAUUAUCUUUCUGGGACAGCUUUAUAACAUUUAUAAAUAAAAUAAAUUGAUAUAAAUAAGAGCAUGAUGAUUUUACACUCAGGCAGCUGUUACUAUAAACAGCUGGAAUACAUUUCUUUACAUGAAAUGUAUAAAAGCACAUAAGCUAUGAUCACCUGCAAGUAUAGAAAAAAGGGGUGGAAUGAAGAGCUUUGUGCAAAUUUCCCAGAAGAAGAUAACUUCAUCAGUGAAAUGUUUACUUAUAUGCCUUAAAGUUUAGCAUGUUUAAACAGUUUGAUCUGUUUCGAUUGACAUAAACAAAGUUCAGCUCACAUUUAAAAUAAAAAAAAAAAUCUGUGUUUGGAAAGAAUGCUUGCCUGGCUAGAGAACAAGUUAUAGAAGAUUCUUCAACUUCUGGCAUUUUUGAAAGCACGUUUUUGAAGAAAACGACACAAAGGUUGCAGAUACACAUGUAGUGUAAGAGUGGAUUUUCUUGCACACCCUGUUUCUUCUAGUGCACAAGAAGAAAUGAAUUGUUACAUCUGGCAGAAAUUUGCCAGUUGAUACAGUCUGGGUUUGGGAUCAGGACAUUAAUCGCUGCAAGGUUGAUGGAUUUUUUUUUUAACAGAAGUACAAUUUUCAUUCAAUAAAUAAAACUAUUUUUGCUUUUA